rnacentral:rRNA from 1 species
AUUCCAGCUCCAAUAGCGUAUAUUAAAGUUGUUGCAGUUAAAAAGCUCGUAGUUGGAUUUCUGGCAGAGUGUCCUCCGUCCAGCAGUUCGUUUGGUUCGGAGCGCUCUACCAUCCUUCUGUUAACCUUUCCGGGAUUUACUUUUCUGACUGGGGCUCAGAUAUUUUACCUUGAGAAAAUUAGAGUGUUUCAGGCAGGCUAUUCGCCGGAAUACAUUAGCAUGGAAUAAUGGAAAAGGACUGCAACCUCUUCUGUUGGUCUGGGAGGCUGAAGUAAUGAUUAAUAGGGAUAGUUGGGGGCAUUAGUACUUUCCAGUCAGAGGUGAAAUUCUCCAAUUUGGUAAAGACUAACUUAUGCGAAAGCAUUUGCCAAGGAUGUUUUCAUUG